UCCAAUAUUGAGGAUCUCUGAGGGGGAUAUUGCGGUCUCUGAGGGAUACUAUGGGGAGUCUCUGAGGGGGCAGAUUGGGGAGAUAUUGGGGUUCUCUGAGGGGGACAGAGAGGCUCUUGUACUGUAACCAUCUGCCCCAGCCCCACAGCCCGCCAGGGGCAUCGACUCAAGUACACUGAGAUUGGGGCCCCCGUUGCUGCGCACACACACACACACCCCGACAGACUGCAGCCCCCAUCGCUGCACCUGAGCAAACCAUGGAGAGAAAUGCUGUGAGCCCAGGAACCGACGCAGGGGGAGGAGGCGGUGUGGGGAUUCCUGCCUUAUGCUAAAGCUAUAUAAGGGGGUGGACCAGAACAAAGGAGGUUCCAGCCAUGAGACAUUCCCUAGUUACCAUCUGAGCUGGAGCUAACAAGGACUGUACCAGGGGAAGGAUUCUGACCAGACUAGGAAGUAGUCCAGUCUGUGAAAGAAGCUUACUGGAACAUCUGAGGGUAAAAGGAAAUGAGUGAGUGGGCACCUGGCCAAAAGAGGCAAUGGGAAG